CCCGCAGAUUGGCUGCAAUGGAGAGCUUCUCUGAUUCCAUCGACUAAACUAGGUGCUGAUUUGAUAGUUAAAAAUGGGGUCAUUUUCACCAGCGACCCUUCUUUUCCUUUUGCCGAUUCCAUGGCCAUUCGUGACGGUAGAAUCCUUCGUGUUGGAAACUAUUCCUCUCUUCAGGAUUUGUCAGGAUAUGGCACUAAAUAGCUGAAUCUUGAAGGAAAGAUCGUGGUGCCCGGAUUUGUUGAUUCUCACGUGCACUUGAUCUCUGCAGGACUUCAGAUGGCAGGUGUACAGCUCGAAGG